UGCUGAAACAGUUGUUACGGAGGCCUGUGUUAGUGACAGCUGGCCUGCCACAGCACCUCUUUGUUGCUUCAUCUGUGACCGAAGAGGACGAGUGAGGAGUAGGACCCUUGCGAAGGUUUUAGAUGCAAGCUUAGGAGGAUGAGGGGCGCUGUCCGAGGUCUGAGAGGCAGCCCGCACCCUUUGCCUCUGAAAUAACUACUUUUUGGAGGUGCCAGAGGAGAGAAUCGGUGGAGCGCCCUCCUGGAGUGGGAUCACAGCACCACCCAAGCCUAGAAUCGUCAUCUUCUGGAUCCACUCUCCAUCCUUCUCUACUCUGUCUGUGCUGUGGGAGGCUGACCCCAUCUGUUUACUUCAGUGGAGCACUAGAGCCUGCAAGAACUGAUUGUAUGCAUCUCCUCCUAACUCCGUGUUUGGUGACUGUGGUAGGAAUAUUUACACUAUGGACACUGGCAAAUACUACAAGUAAGCAUGCAUGCACACAUACAUGUCUCAGAGCUUGUUGUUAAAUGUUUAUUUACUAGCUGACCACUGGGGCAACAUCAGUAUAUUCCUUGCCUCUGGCUUCUGCUUGGGUUUGGCCACUGGGUGGUACUUGCAAGGAAUUGAAUAGAGCAUGGUAAGAGAAUCUACUCUCCUGGCCUCCCUAACACAUUCUCAGAUUGGCUGAAUCCCUCUCCAAAGGCUUCAGCUGUGGUCAAGCA
rnacentral:lncRNA from 1 species